UAUUAUCACUGUUUUACAGAUUAUGAAACUGAGGCAUGGAGAUGUUUUAUAAUGAGUCCAAAGGUACACGUGAUUGCAAGUUCUGGGCUAGGAUUUGAACCCAGGCAGCAUCAGCACAGCUGGGUGGCUCAGUCACUUAACUCUAAGUAUCUAACUCUCAAUUAGUGUCUAACUCUUGAUAACUAAGGUCAUGAUCUCACUGUUCUGGGAUUGAGCUCAGCAUUGGGCUCUGGGCUGACAGUGUGGAGCCUACUUGGGAUUCUCUCUCUCCCUCUCUCUCUGCCCCUCCCCCACUUGCUCUCUUUCUCUCAAAAUAAAUAAAUAAAGUUAAAAAAAAAAAAUGAACCCAGAUAGUAUUGUGUGAGAUCUCCUGUGUUCAACCUUUACACAUUUCUGCCUCUCCAAAUAGAGUGGCCAUUAAAUCAGUCAACAAGGAUUGUAUGUAUUUAUCUAGGAGAAAGCAGCAGCUUAUGUGGGAUAAUCAUGGUGAAAAUUAAAGAUAAGUAAAAAACAAAACUAACAUUAGGCGCCUCAGUGGUUUAAGAGGAUCUCUGUUGGGCUCUCCCUUCCAUAUUUACGUUAAUUUUUUCUUAGCCUAUAAGGUAUAUAAGGGGACUUGUAUAUGGCACAGAGGAAGUAGUUCUAUUUUUGCAAGCAUAAAUCCUUGAUUUUACGACGUUUUUAAGGUAACCCAGUGGACCUACAAAUAAUGCACUAAAGGGUGUUGAAAUUUGCAAUGAAGUAUACCACAAGAUGGCAGUACAAAUCAAUUAAAAAAAACCCAACUGCUCUCUAAGUCUGUACAGUAAAUUAAGCUCUAGGAAAGCAACUUCAUCAUUUUUGACAUGAUCAGGGCAACUGUAUUUAAUUCCAAAUGGGUUUUAAUCACCUAGAAGAGAAUUCACAAGCUUUUUAAAAUCAAAAGACCUGAAAAGUGUAAAGGCUUUGAUAAGGAAAGCUGCUUCUAAAAUUUUAGAAAUUCCUGCUUUGGAGGAAGCUAAAGUUUUAAGUAAACGUUUUGACUCCAGAAACUGUUGGCAAGAUAAUGUCACAUUCACAUACUUCCAGGAACCUUACCGUUCGCCAUGAUGGCUUGGCCAAAGAUCAGCCUUUAGUCCAUAACUGCAAACAUAUUUACCAAAUUGGUCCUUAGGAAAAGUUCCUUUCAGUUAACGCCAGAGGAAAGGACACUAUUUAAGUAAUUUUGGAAACUAGGAUUGAACCACAGGUUGGUCUGACAUCUGAGCCCUGGGGCCUGUUGACUUGUGGUUGAAAUAAUGAAACAGAUAUCACCCAGUAGAAGGGAAUUCCCAUUCAUUCAUUCAUUCAUUCAUUCAUUCAUUGUAGGCUUCACACCCAGCGCAGAGCCCGAUGUUGAGCUUGAACUCACGACCCUGAGAUCAAGACCUGAGCUGAGAUCAAGAGCCGGACACUUAGCUGACUGAGCCACCAAGGCACCCCCAGCUUUUUAAGAGAGCGAGUGGCAGGAAGUAAGCUAUCAUAUGCAAACUAUUAGUCUCUUCUAGAAGGAUCACAGGGAACUCUCACUGAAGAAAUGAAAUCCAGCUAAUCCCUCCAAGAAACUGAAGUUUCAGGACAUUACUUUUGAAAGGCAAAUGCAGGCUGACUCCUGCCCACAGACCACCAAGAGCCAAAGUGUAUCUGAAAGCCAUUGUCAAAAUAAGGAGUGAGGACAUCUGUGGUGAAGACCAUCCUCUGUGAUCUUUUUUUCUUUUAAACAUUUAUUUAAUUUUUAGAGAGAGAGAACAGAGUGUGAGCAGGGAAGGGGCAGAGAGAGAGGGAGACACAGAAUCUGAAGCAGGCUCCUGGCUCUGAGCUGUCAGCACAGAGACCCAUGUGGAGCUUGAACCCAUGAACCAUGAGAUCAUGACCUGAACCAAAGUUGGACGCUUAACUGACUGAGCCACUCAGGCACCCCUAAAUUAUUUUUUUAAGUAAUCUCUGCACUCAGCAUGGGGCUUGAACUCAUUACCCUGAAAUCAAGAGUCACAGCCUCCUCUGACUGAGCCAGCCAGGCUCCCCUAUCCUCUGUGGUCUUAUGGGCAAAUCAUUUAGCCUCUCUGAGCCUCACAUCCCUCCUUUGUUAAAUGGGCAUGAUAAUACCUUAGAGGGGUGUUGUGAAGGCAAAUGAGACAAUGGACGUGAAAGCACUUGUAAGCUAUAUGGUGCUAUCCAAACAUUGGCUAUUAUUGCUGUUACCACAUCAGCCCACCCAACCUCAUUGUCACCUCCACCCCCUCAACACCCUUCUAAUAAUAAUUUUGGUUUUCCAUCUCUCUAACCUCCUCCUCAUCCUCCUCGUCCUCCUCUUAUUCCUGUCUCAGGAACCAACUUCCCUUUUCAGUAGCUCUCUUCAUCUUCCACAUUCAAUCUAACAAGUCUUAUAUCCCCCAAACACCUGUCUGCAGUAGAUACUAUGAGAUGCUCCCAGGGCCCCCUCUUCAGAACUAGGCCUUAUUCCCACAGCUGCUGGAUGGGUUGCCACCUCACAGCCCUCUGCCCUCUCUGGAAACUGCCCUCAGCUGAAGAGACCCACCACACCCAAGGUUACACCCCCUUCUGGGGGCAAGCACCCACAUACAGUGACCGAUGUUUGAGGCCCGGACUCCAUGUAACGCAGGACAACCCUGAAAAGCCGUCCCAGCAUCUGCACUCCCUGCGGGUCAGCCGGGGCCUCCGUGAGCCUGCUUGCCUCAUCCCAGCCCGCCUUCUCGUGCCCACCUGCUGCUGCCUCCCUUUCACAGGUGCUGAUCCUGAGAACCCUGCACAAUACACUUCUUUCACCCCGUUCUUUCCCGGUUGGCUUCCCAGGAAACCCAAUCUACAGCACCAUCCUCGAUUUAUUCACCUCCUUCUGUCUCCACUCUGUUCUGGUUUCAGCCAGCACCUUCCCUCAACAGCCUCCCUCCUAUCUCCCUGCCUCUGCUCUCGACCUUUUUUUGUUUUUAAUAAUCUCUACACCCAAUGUGGGGCUUGAACUCACAACCCGGAGAUCAAGAGUCCCAUGCUUUAUAGACUGAGCUAGCCAGGCACCCCUGCUCCUGACCUUCCUGACCCUCCCUUUUCCUCACAAUUGUCAGUUAUCUUAAAAUAUUCAAUGCCUUUUAUUUUAUUUCAUUAGAUAAUAUUUGAUACAAAAAUAUGACAUAUACAUAAUUUAGGAAACCAUGAGGAAAAUGAACCUAUGAACCCUUCACUCCAUUAAGAUCUGGAUCUGUUAAAGCUGCCUGUCUGCCUUUCCUUGAUUAUAAUCCUUCCCUAUUCUCCACAAGUAACCACAAUCUUUUUUCUUUUUUUUUAAAGUAAGCUCUAUGCUCAACAUGGGGCUUGAACUCACCACCCCAGAUCAAGAGUCGCAUGCUCUACCAACUGAGCCAGCCAGGUGGAUAACUGAAGCACUGUGACCGUAACCCUAUUUGCACACUAAGAAGCUGGACUGCCAUGGUCUAUGGAUGCCGGCAGAACACAUGAGACUCCUGGUCAGAGACAAAGGACUUCAUCACCCACAGCCCCGGCAAGCAGCAUGUCGGCAUUGGUUCCCUUUGUCCCAUUCCCAGAGGGCUAUGAGAAGAGGGCUGGAUGAUACCUGCAUUGCAGGAGAGGAACCCUGAGCCUUAGAGAACCUGAAUCUUUUAUAAUUGGGCAAUAAAUUAUAAAUUUAUUUAUAGUCAGGCAAACCUGACUUUGUCUUACAGGGAGAUACUAUCUUUAUUAAGGAACAACAAACAAAUCUACCUUUUGUUCUGGAGGGAGGCCUCAUCUCUGUCUUCCCAGGCUGUUUGCUAUACUAAGAAUCUUGAAAAGACAGCCUGGAAUAAAGGCAGUUAGUGUCUCUGCUCACAAGACGUGCAGGAACAUGAGUCUCAAGUAGAAUCAUCUCCCAACAACAACCAAAUGUUCUAGCACCAUUUACUCCCUAAUAUAUACUUUUCCAACCAAGUUAUUGUGCUAUCUCUUCUGAUAUUAAUUUUCCAAAAAAUACAUUCAUAUACUUCUAGGCUUUGUAUUUUGCUUCAUUGAUGUGUCUGUCUUAAUUAUUAUAGUUUUAUAAUAAAUAAAUAUCUGA